rnacentral:misc_RNA from 1 species
AUGAAAUGAAUGUCGAAAAGGGUUGUAGCUGGCCUCUUGAGGCAUGUGCACACCUUGAUCGCACAUCCACAUCUCACACCUGUGCACAACCUGUAGCUUGGGAUGAUUACAAUGCUGGGAACAGUAUUGAAAGCCCUUGCUAUGAAAUUUUACACACACAUAUUAAAAGUUAUCGAAAGAUGACUAAACAAUUAAUA